UCCCGCAUGCAGUCAUGUAGAAGUAGUUGAUGGGGAGAUUUACCAAGAGCAGAUGCUUCAUAGAUAAACUAUAAUAAAUGUGGAGGACGAUAAUGAAGUUAUCUAGUUAGAUGGUGGAGAUGAACUACAUGAAUUAGAUCCUGAGUCAAUACUUGCGUCAGAUGAUAUUGAUACUGAGGAGGAAGAGUUAUUGGCUAAAUCUGACACUAAAUCUGAAGUAGAUGAUGG
rnacentral:lncRNA from 1 species